rnacentral:rRNA from 1 species
UACGUAGGGUGCGAGCGUUAAUCGGAAUUACUGGGCGUAAAGCGUGCGCAGGCGGUUUGCUAAGACCGAUGUGAAAUCCCCGGGCUUAACCUGGGAACUGCAUUGGUGACUGGCAGGCUAGAGUAUGGCGAGAGGGGGGUAGAAUUCCACGUGAUAGCAGUGAAAUGCGUAGAGAUGUGGAGGAAUACCGAUGGCGAAGGCAGCCCCCUGGGCCAAUACUGACGCUCAUG